AGAGUUUGAUCCUGGCUCAGAUUGAACGCUGGCGGCAUGCCUUACACAUGCAAGUCGGACGGCAGCACGGGGGCAAUCCUGGUGGCGAGUGGCGAACGGGUGAGUAAUACAUCGGAACGUGUCCUGGAGUGGGGGAUAGCCGGCGAAAGCCGGAUUAAUACCGCAUACGCUCUGUAGAGGAAAGCGGGGGAUCUCGGACCUCGCGCUCAAGGGGCGGCCGAUGGCAGAUUAGGUAGUUGGUGGGGUAAAGGCCUACCAAGCCGACGAUCUGUAGCUGGUCUGAGAGGACGACCAGCCACACUGGGACUGAGACACGGCCCAGACUCCUACGGGAGGCAGUAGUGGGGAAUUUUGGACAAUGGGGGCAACCCUGAUCCAGCAAUGCCGCGUGUGUGAAGAAGGCNUUCGGGUUGUAAAGCACUUUUGUCCGGGAAGAAAUCCCUUUCGUUAAUACCGGAGGGGGAUGACGGUACUGAAGAAUAAGCANCGGCUAAUA
rnacentral:rRNA from 1 species